UUUCCGUAGGUGAACCUGCGGA
rnacentral:ncRNA from 4 species